CUUCUUCUUCUUCUUCUUCUUCUUCUUCUUCUUCUUCAUUCGCCUCGCGCCCUCUCUCUCAACUCAAACACAUGGACAUUAUUGACCUUCUUCCCAACUCCACCUUCGAUUUUCGAUUUCAACUUCCUCGCCAAGCACAAGUCUCUCUCUCUCUCUCUCUCUCUCUCUCUCUCUCUCUACUUUCUUUUUAUUUUAUUUAUUUUAUUAAUUAAUUAAUGAAUUAAUUGUGCAGGAUUUUUUGGAGAGGAGAGAGGUUAGAGAGUUUAUGAGCGGCGCCCUAGCUGGUGCUAUGACUAAAGCUAUACUUGCUCCACUUGAAACCAUUAGGUAUUGCUAUUGCUAUUCCUUUUGCAUGCUAUUCCUAUUGCUAUUGCUAUUACUCUCAACUCAAACACAUGGACAUUAUUGACCUUCUUCCCAACUCCACCUUCGAUUUUCGAUUUCAACUUCCUCGCCAAGCACAAGUCUCUCUCUCUCUCUCUCUCUCUCUCUCUCUCUCUCUACUUUCUUUUUAUUUUAUUUAUUUUAUUAAUUAAUUAAUGAAUUAAUUGUGC
rnacentral:lncRNA from 1 species